CGGGGUGUAGCGCAGUUGGUAGCGCGCCUGGUUCGGGACCAGGAGGUCGUGGGUUCAAGUCCCGCCACCCCGA
rnacentral:tRNA from 1 species